GGGAGGGAGAGCAGGCAGGGGACCCCGGGGCCUGCCGCCACCCCAGGCUGGCGCCCCGGCCCUGCCCAGCUGAUCAUCAUAUUGUUUCAGAGUGAUGCCCAUCCUUGCUUUAUGCCAAUUGAUCCAUGCCUCUGCCGAGAAGAGGAAAGAGGUUCGGGCAGAGCGUUAAUAUUAAUCAACACCGGCCUCUCUCCAAAGGACAGCGGGGAAGCAGAAACAAAAGAAGGAGGUUUGCUGAAACAGCCCAGAAUAUUACGGCGGGAGAAGCAAUCAGUUAAUGGGACUGGAUGCCAAUGAGGACUCGUCCAAGUGACCAUCCGGUCCACGUGGUCCCCGAAGGUCCAGGAGGAAGCUGGUCUGCCGGCGACUAUGUCAAUCACGGCUCCACGUGCCUGCCACCACGCGCCUCGCUUAGAGACCCAUAUGGACCUUCCCGUCAGGCUGGGACAGACUUAAAUUAUGACACUUUUCAUCUUGAUUGACAAUAACCUUCCCCUGGAAGUUGGGGAACAGCCCAGCUACAAUUACGUCUUGUACAAUAAAAUGA